GCUCUCGACUCCCGGCUGCGGCGCGGCGCGGGGCGGGCGGGCGGAGCGCUCGGCUCCGCGCUCAGUUGUGCUGCGAGCCGCUGCCCAUCCAGCCCGGGGUCUGGCGGAGAAACUCACUUCAAAAGCAGCUGAAUUAGUCUGAGAUUAAAGCCUUUGCCGCCUUCCAAUCAAAUGGGACCCCGAGGCAAAACGUGUUAAUCAAUCUUUUACUUUUGUUUCCGGAUCUGACAUGGUGGCCCACACAAUCUACAACAUUAACAAAAAGGUCACUUAGAGAUAAAACACGUUUGACAAGUGAAGAACAAGGCAAGUGCUUCAGGGGUCGCGGCCAAUUCCUGACCUGGACUCCGACCAGAACAGGCGCCGCUCGGGGAGGGGUGGGCGUGGGGAAGGACUUUCCCCGCUCGCUCUCGGCCCCGCCGAACCCCGUCCUUCGCCUUCACCUUCUCCUUCCCCGCACCGCCACCCCCGGACCCCGCGCCGGGCGGCCCCCAGCGGCCCUCUCCCCACGGGCCGCCUUUCUCCGACGCCCUCCCCGCCCCCAGAGCGGUGCUCCGUCGGUCCCGCAGCCGGGUCGGUAUCUCGGGUGGCUUUUAUUGAACCGCCGCGCUCUUUGGCACGUUGGAUAGAACGGGGCGAUACGCGGAAGUGCCCUCGCCUCCUAGAAAGACGAUUUUAACAAACUUUUUUAAUUUCUGUGUGUUCUCUGGAAGCGCGGAACGUGUCGCCGGAACGUGUCGGUGCAGGGCAGAGCCGGGCUUCCGUGUCGCCGUGCCCGCUGUGUUCUUCCGAGGCCGUGACAGUGAAAGGAUCGGGGGGCAGAGGGAGAAGCAUCGCACAAAAGCUGCCGCCGCUGCAGCGGGACUGACAACCCGCACCGUGCCCGUAAGGAACUCCCCCUUCCUUCAUACAGAGUGGAAGUGACUUGAAUCUGCCCCAGGUUUUCCCCCCGUUCUUUCUUUUGUUGUCAAGUCCAAUUGAUAAAUGGAGUGCAGUAAAACUCUGGAAGAAAAAAAAAAAAAAAGAGGGAAAAAAAAAAAAAAAAAAGCUGAAACCUU